AAUUAUUUUUUAUUUCAAGUGGACAUAGAUAUUUGAGCUAGAAGCUAGACAAAAAAUACUUUGUAAAAUCUUGUGUUUCUGCAG